rnacentral:rRNA from 1 species
AAUAGAUACCCCGGUAGUCCACGCCCUAAACGAUGUCAACUAGCUGUUGGGGCCUUCGGGCCUUGGUAGCGCAGCUAACGCGUGAAGUUGACCGCCUGGGGAGUACGGUCGCAAGAUUAAAACUCAAAGGAAUUGACGGGGACCCGCACAAGCGGUGGAUGAUGUGGAUUAAUUCGAUGCAACGCGAAAAACCUUACCUACCCUUGACAUGUCUGGAAUGCCGAAGAGAUUUGGCAGUGCUCGCAAGAGAACCGGAACACAGGUGCUGCAUGGCUGUCGUCAGCUCGUGUCGUGAGAUGUUGGGUUAAGUCCCGCAACGAGCGCAACCCUUGUCAUUAGUUGCUACGAAAGGGCACUCUGAUGAGACUGCCGGUGACAAACCGGAGGAAGGUGGGGAUGACGUCAAGUCCUCAUGGCCCUUAUGGGUAGGGCUUCACACGUCAUACAAUGGUCGGGACAGAGGGUCGCCAACCCGCGAGGGGGAGCCAAUCCCAGAAACCCGAUCGUAGUCCGGAUCGCAGUCUGCAACUCGA